CGACCGGCGCACGGGUGAGUAACGCGUAUACAAUUUACCCUUUACAGGAGAAUAGCCCAGAGAAAUUUGGAUUAAUGCUCCAUAGUAUUAUUGAUUGGCAUCGAUUAAUAAUUAAAACUUCGGUGGUAGAAGAUGAGUAUGCGUCCUAUUAGCUGGAUGGUAAGGUAACGGCUUACCAUGGCUACGAUAGGUAGGGGUCCUGAGAGGGAGAUCCCCCACACUGGUACUGAGACACGGACCAGACUCCUACGGGAGGCAGCAGUGAGGAAUAUUGGGCAAUGGAGGCAACUCUGACCCAGCCAUGCCGCGUGCAGGAAGACUGCCCUAUGGGUUGUAAACUGCUUUUAUAUAGGAAGAAACCCAUCCACGAGUGGAUGGCUGACGGUACUAAAGAAUAAGCACCGGCUAACUCCGUGCCAGCAGCCGCGGUAAUACGGAGGGUGCAAGCGUUAUCCGGAAUCAUUGGGUUUAAAGGGUCCGUAGGCGGGCAAUUAAGUCAGGGGUGAAAUCCCACAGCUCAACUGUGGAACUGCCUUUGAUACUGGUUGUCUUGAGUUAUAGUGAAGUAGAUAGAAUGUGUAGUGUAGCGGUGAAAUGCAUAGAUAUUACACAGAAUACCGAUUGCGAAGGCAGUCUACUAACUGUACACUGACGCUAAUGGACGAAAGCGUGGGGAGCGAACAGGAUUUAGAUACCCUGGGUAGUCCACGCCGUAAACGAUGGAUACUAGUUUGUUGGGGUUUAUACUCAGUGACUAAGCGAAAGUGAUAAGUAUCCCACCUGGGGAGUACGUUCGCAAGAAUGAAACUCAAAGGAAUUGACC
rnacentral:rRNA from 1 species